UGCUUGAGUAGCAAUACGAGAGUAUCCUAGUGGCGAACGGGUGAGUAACGCGUUGGUGACCUACCCCAAAGUGUGGGAUAACAGUCCGAAAGGAUUGCUAAUACCGCAUGUGGUCAUUGGAUUUAGAAACUGAUGACUAAAGGAGCAAUUCGCUUUGGGAGGGACCUGCGUCCCAUCAGCUAGUUGGUGAGGUAAUGGCUCACCAAGGCUACGACGGGUAGGGGACCUGAGAGGGUGGCCCCCCACAAUGGAACUGAAACACGGUCCAUACACCUACGGGUGGCAGCAGUAGGGAAUAUUGCACAAUGGGCGAAAGCCUGAUGCAGCAACGCCGCGUGUGCGAUGAAGGCCUUCGGG
rnacentral:rRNA from 1 species